rfam:Cavia porcellus supercont2_6 genomic scaffold, whole genome shotgun sequence.
GGAUGUGAGGCUAAUAUGGCUGUAACAUCUAUCACUCCAUCAUUCACCAAGGUUGAUUAGCCUGGCUACCUGAGUGUCUCUAUUUCCCUCAAUGCUCUAUGCCAGGCCCUCCCAAAGCUGCAUGCUCCAAGAAGCUGAACAUCCUCAAGAGAAGAGGACUAUUUGCUCUGUCAAGGGUAUACGAGUAGCUGUGUGCCCCUGCUGGAACCUCCAAACAAGCUAUCAAGGAUACUACUGUUAUUAUGCAAAUAUUUUAGAAUACAUCUCUAAAAGACAGGCAUUUGUGACUUUUUUUUUUUUUUU